rnacentral:rRNA from 1 species
UACAGAGGUGGCAAGCGUUGUUCGGAAUUACUGGGCGUAAAGGGCGCGUAGGCGGUCUUGUCAGUCCCUUGUGAAAUCCCCCGGCUCAACUGGGGAACUGCACGGGAAACAGCAGGGCUUGAGUUCGGGAGAGGGAAGCGGAAUUCCGGGUGUAGCGGUGAAAUGCGUAGAUAUCCGGAGGAACACCGGUGGCGAAGGCGGCUUCCUGGACCGAUACUGACGCUGAGGCACGAAAGCGUGGGGAGCAAACAGG